UACGGAGGAUGCGAGCGUUAUCCGGAUUUAUUGGGUUUAAAGGGUGCGUAGGCGGGCUGUUAAGUCAGCGGUCAAAUGUCGGGGCUCAACCCCGGCCUGCCGUUGAAACUGGUGGCCUCGAGUGGGCGAGAAGUAUGCGGAAUGCGUGGUGUAGCGGUGAAGUGCAUAGAUAUCACGCAGAACUCCGAUUGCGAAGGCAGCAUACCGGCGCCCGACUGACGCUGAGGCACGAAAGCGUGGGUAUCGAACAGG
rnacentral:rRNA from 1 species